UACAGAGGUCUCAAGCGUUGUUCGGAUUCAUUGGGCGUAAAGGGUGUGUAGGUGGCGCUGUAAGUCGGGUGUGAAAUUUCGGAGCUUAACUCCGAAACUGCAUUCGAUACUGCGGUGCUUGAGGACUGGAGAGGAGACUGGAAUUCAUGGUGUAGCAGUGAAAUGCGUAGAGAUCAUGAGGAAGACCAGUGGCGAAGGCGGAUCUCUGGACAAAUCCUGACGCUGAGGCGCGAAGGCUAGGGGAGCAAACGGG
rnacentral:rRNA from 1 species